CUUAGACCUGGAGAUCCUGGAUUCUGCGCCCAGGCAAGGGUCCCCAUGCCCUUGAACAAGGACUAUGUUGUCAGGCCCAAGUGCAAUGUGGAAAUGGAAUCAUCCAGGCCUGGUAUUCUUAAAAAGGGCCUAAGCCGAUUGGAAAAGCAUAAGAGGAGAUUUGCAGAACAGAAACGACUCAGCAAAGUGCACCGUGCUGUCAAGUUCAGCAUUGAAGGCAACAGGAUGCCCCUGUAGGCCGGGCCCUGCCCGAGCGUUACCUGGGAGUUUCAGGGGACCUCCAAGAAGGGUAUCAGUCGACUGGAUAAACAGAUGAGAAAGUUCACAGGCAUCAGGGAAAAGAGCAGAUCUGCACAUGCAGUAAAAAUCAGCAUCGAGGGCAAUAAAAUGCCCUUGUGACUGCCUGGGAGGUUCCCCAUCACUACUCUUAAGAAAUGCGCAAUGGACUCUUUGGA